rnacentral:rRNA from 1 species
CCUACGGGAGGCAGCAGUAGGGAAUCUUCCACAAUGGACGAAAGUCUGAUGGAGCAACGCCGCGUGAGUGAAGAAGGUUUUCGGAUCGUAAAACUCUGUUGUUGGAGAAGAACGUAUUUGAUAGUAACUGAUCAGGUAGUGACGGUAUCCAACCAGAAAGCCACGGCUAACUACGUGCCAGCAGCCGCGGUAAUACGUAGGUGGCAAGCGUUGUCCGGAUUUAUUGGGCGUAAAGCGAGCGCAGGCGGUUUCUUAAGUCUGAUGUGAAAGCCUUCGGCUCAACCGAAGAAGUGCAUCGGAAACUGGGAAACUUGAGUGCAGAAGAGGACAGUGGAACUCCAUGUGUAGCGGUGAAAUGCGUAGAUAUAUGGAAGAACACCAGUGGCGAAGGCGGCUGUCUGGUCUGUAACUGACGCUGAGGCUCGAAAGCAUGGGUAGCAAACAGGAUUAGAUACCCGAGUAGUC